AUAUAUGGAAGUACGCCUCGUAUUUCAGGAUGAAGUGGCUCCUCAGCUCCUGAUGAUUUAUCUCCUCCCUCUUGAAUUUGAAUGUCACUUUUCCUUUUCCAUACAGCAGGUUUUAUGAAAGCUUCUGUCGCAUCUGCGGUGGCAUUUGAAUCCGCGAGAAUCUGCUUUAAACAACGUCUUUUCAUCCUGAGGAGGCUGCGCUCCGUCUGGUCUUUAAAGAGCACAAACAUGGUAAGAUAAAAACGAGGCAUGUUCAGACUUUUAAAGCACAAAAGAGAAAGUACAAGACAAGUUUCGACACUUUGUUUCCAGAGAAAUUUCUGCAGAGGGUUAUCGUCCUCCCUCACAGCCAACUCUGGAUGAUUUUCACAUGGCAAAUAAACACAAACUCACUAUCUUGACUGUUACUGGAAACAAAGCCCUGCUGGAUGAGAUCAGCAGUUCUUGCUAAGCUUAGGGGGGGAUCUGUGCUGAACACUCUUUCCUGGAUGCCAGAGUGACUCGGGACUCUGUGGCUGAUAGGAAGCUGACUCACCCAGCAGCAGCAGAUGCCGGCUGGAUAGAGUCAGUAAUGCAGGGUCAGGCCACUGCUGAGUGUGAAUUGUGGAGGGUUUGUUUAUGUGCCCGAGAGGUUCAGAGCGGGGAGUGAGGAUGUGCUGUGGAGACCCCGGUUCAUUAGGUGUUUUUUUUUCCCCUCUUAUUUAAUUAUUAGUUUAUUUGACAUGGACAACAAUACAUACAGGCAUCGUUACGUCUAAUUAAAGUGCAACCCAUGCAGCGCAUGAGGGACUUCAAGCUGUGCUGAUUCUCAGUCAGGCUUCUAGAAAUGACGCACAUGAAGCAAAGACGAGCAGACGGAUUCACCUGCGAGAAGAAACGCUAAAAGGAAUUUAUGAAAUAUGAAAGUUCGUGAGCUGGGACAUCUUUAUUUUCAUCUUUAUUUUGAGCUGACAGUCACAUUUUUAAAGAUCGGGGCAUCAAAUUUGGUGAGAGUUCUAAUUUAACUUUAUAUUUUAAAAAAAACAACUAAAUAAAAACUCCAUGUCACUUUGUAGUUUUUCUGCUCCAAUAGACUCAGCUGUUUAGAACACUUUAUGAAUAACUAUGACAUGUUGCACAAAAACUGGCAUAAAAAGGGUGAUACAUCGAAUUCUUUAUUCAUUACUUUUUUCAGUGGUUAGGGCGGAAGUUGUUUAAGAGAUUUGAGUCAAAAAAAGCAAGAAAAAAUGUUGAAAAAUGAUUAUUUUAUUAACUUAUUUGCAUGUCUGUUUUGGGGACAAAGUUGGCUGAUGGAGCUUCAAAUGAACAGGAACCGCAGAUUCGCCAAUCUUGUAACCUGAAUAUCUUCAAAACAAACAUGUUAGUAAGAUAUUGAUGUAAAAACAGGCUUACAGUACACAUCAAACCCUCAGAGGUAAAACUCUUCCCUCCACAGAGAGAAAUCUCACUCCAGUGAUGAAACACGUCUCCCCCGUCACCUUCUUUAUUUGUUUCAUUCCCCUAAAAAUGUCAUUUUAUUAUCGUAUAGCGCGCACAUAAACACUGAAUUCCAUGAAAACACAUCCCAGCUUACCCUGAGAAACCCCGCUGACACACAUCGGAUGAAAGAAUAAAUCCCUUUGGGUAAAAUUGGAUUUUCACGAUGGAACAAGCAGGAUCAUCUGAACCUAUUGUUUCGCCUAUCUGUGAAUUUGUGACGAUCUGUGAAGGAAGGAAAUCAGAGCUCAAUGGACGUGAAUGCAGUCAAUAUGUUCAGUGUUUACAGGGGCGGAUUUCAUGCCAGGCGGAAAUAUGAUUUCUGUUCAACACACUGAAUGAGACACAAACAGGCUGCUUUUAUCUGCAGCAACCCAACAGUUGGUCUGAAAUUGUGGUGGUAUCCAGAUCGUUUUACUCACGAUGAUGGUUCAGACGCAAAAAAUGGGUUUGAAAACAGACACUGGUGUGAAAUAGGAGUCGUAUUUUACAUGCUCAGUCAUCAUGCAGUCAGUUUCACAAUAUAGACAUUUUAAAUAAAAAGUCCUGUAUGAACUGGUGUUCAGGAAGUGUCAUUACACAAAAAUCUCCUACUGCUGACUCUUUACAGUCAAAAUCUUUUUAAUUAUUGUGAAUAUUUUGUGAGGAAAUUGUGAAACAAAUCAGAAGCUGCUUAGCUGACGCUUACCUCCUCCGACCCUUUUCAGGCAUUUUAAAUUAAGACAUGAAAAUCACCAAUCUUCUCGCUCUUGUUUACUUUAGGAUAUCAUGAAAAGGCAUCAACAUGAUUUUCAGUCUAUUUAAAGACAUAAAAAAAACUUCUUUUUGGAGCUGUAACGUGUUAAAUGAAGGUUUAAAAAAUCAUUCCAGUUAUGUCACGUCAUGGUUGACGAUUGGGGAGAUUGGUAAUUAUUAUGAACCUCGUUUCUAUGGCGAUCAUGGUCCUAUAGUGCGAUCUCCGUACAGUGAAGAGAAAAAAGAACGGAAAAAUUCUGUUCACCCUAUCAGGUGCAGGGCUGUAAAAACAUUGACCAAUGGGAGCCAUCCGUCCCAGACAGCUCCUAUUGGUCAAUCUCCAAUCACCUCGCUGUAUUCGACACACCCUUCUCCUGUAGUUCCGACUCGUCCCCUCCCACUCUCCUGACUAAAAGUAGUGUAGCAGCUUAGCUACAGGAGCUGUGAUGGAAUGGGACGCAAAAAAAAACACUUCUGCUUGAACCCACCGCCAAAGGUGGGAAGAAAACGCAAGCCGACAGAAGAAAGAAUGGAGAAACAGAGGAAAUGUGACCAAGCGAGGAAUCUAAUGUGAAUAAACAUCUGGUCCUCCUUGAAACGGUGGAGAAAGCUCCACCAGGAUUUGGUCCUGAAAACAGACGCCGAGACAGCAGAGUUUUUGUUGAUCAGGUCAUUUUUAUCUCCUUUUAUCGUGGCUCAUGUUUCAUAAAUAACUCUUAUUAGUCUCUGACAUGUCAACACGGUAGCUGUCCAGGCAGCUGCAGACGGCGCUCGCUAGCAGAGCUGGCGUUUACUGCUGCUAGUCACUAACAAUCCGACAUGGUGGAUCCUAUUUGAAGCUAGCGUAGGAUCUUCUUGCUCUGCCAGAGGGGGUGUGUCAUGGGGAGGGCGAUACAGGUUCAGGGGGGGGGGACGCUUUUUUCAAAUCUGCCUCAACAGCUCAGUUUUUUCCAACUGCUUCUCAGAUCGUCAACCAGGACUUUAAAGUUCAGAAUUUGCUGUCAGAAAUUGAAAUUUAAACAGUAAAUUCCAAAUUGUUUUAAAACUCAAAAUUCUUUUUUUAGACUCAAAAUUCUGACAUUUUUGUAGUUCUAGAAUUCUGACAUCACAGGCAGAAUUCUGAAGUCAAAUUAGAAUUCUGAGAUCAAGGGCUCGACAAAAGCGUUGCCUCUGUUCUAGUAACAGUGUUUCGAUACUUGUGAGGACCUGGGUAAUCAUAAUGUACGACCCUGACCCCGACCAUCUAACCCUCCAACAUUUACCCCAAUCUGAACCUACACCUCAUUUAUACCUUGACCUUAAAACCAAGUGUGCUCCACAGACAGAAGAGGCGCUCAUGUUCAGUUAUGUUCACACAGACCUACGAUUACCCCACCACCAUUCUUAUGUGAUGUGAUGCACUGCAAUACAUUCACUUUCCAAUUAAGAGUGAAUCGCUCUCAUGGCGGCUACAUAAACUAAUGUGUUUGGAGACCAGCGGCGGUCUGACAGCAGCAGUGGAGGGCAGGUCACUUUAAAUCUCUGUGUUAGCAUUUAGCUACCUGAAGAGUAUGUCAAGAAAAUGAGGAAGCUUACAUUUAACGUCGCCCCUCAUUUUUCCACGUUGUUCCGAUGUGGCGUGUUUUAAAAUCUGGACCAAAUAGAAGAUACUGUACCUCGCUCAGGAUGGGAAACCCAGCAGGUUUUAGUGCUCGUAUGACUCACCCAAUGAAACUUUGAUAUGAUUAACUCAUCCGUCAUGAUGUCAUGGAGUGGGCCACUGAAUUUACUCACCUUAAGAGCCUGAGCGCCAUAAAAAUCCACAGGCCUCGCCGUGCUGCACGCACACAUUACACACAUGGACGGACGCGCAAAUGCAUGCAGCACUGCAUUCAUGGUAUUCAUCGAGCACAGAAAUCUGAAUUUAGGACCAAAGAGGAACACAUGAGAGAGGCUGCAUGAUGAUGUCACCCCGCACACUUAAUUUCCAGUGGCUUUAAAUCCACUCCAGGCCGAGUGGAAAUGACUGAACAUGGAGGAGCAUAAGUGGCUUUGUCAAAUUGGAGCAGGGAGCAAUAUGAGCAGAACAACACUCCACUAAACAAUAUCUGGCACUCCAGAAUUAUUACAGUAAUGCGCCUGUAAAAAGCCACUAGAUAUUACCUGCUUAUUUCAGUGUGUCUGCGGGGUGACAGAUAGCAGGCUCUAUUCAGCCGCCGCGGAACCACCAGGACUCCAUAAAAAGAGCGGCAGAUGGGUAGUUAAAAAGGCGCCGUGUGGGGAAAAUUUCCACCCUUUGUUUAUGAUCAAGAAGGUUUCAUAAAGACAUUUUUCAAAAUAACGCCGCUGUCGGGGAACGCUCUCAAAACUUAUCUGUGGAAAAAGUGGAACUGACCUUGAGAGGGAAAAUGUAAACGAAGGCUGGUUUGUUAGGGUCAAGUGAUCCGAUCCGUCCAACGCCAUCCUGGAGGUGAACAAAUGAGUCACAUCUUUUGCCAAACUUCAUGAUAUAGUUCCACUGAUUUCUCAUAUUUUAUACAUACUAUUUGUAAUCCUGUUAGCUUUCCACAGGGAUUAGCAUUAAAGGGAUAUUCCAGCGUAAAAUUAAGUUAGGGUCAAACACACUGUAACACCGAGUUAGACCCCCCCUCCAGAGAUGAAUGUUGCCGACCGCUUGCUUCUCUAGUUAUACCAACUUUAAUAACGACUGCAUGAUAGUAAUACAGAGAGCCACACACUCAACCAAAACGCCACUCUAUAACCACAAAUAAUGCUCAGAACAGCACCUAACUUCAUCAACAGGAGAUAUAGGGUCACAGACAUAGUACUAUAUUCAGAGUUGUUCUAACUCUAACUAAGAAAACAGAAACUUAAGCAGGGGCGUUUCUUCACUUCUGUAGUCAAAAAGCUGGGCCAAGAAACUUCUACUGUUGUAAAAUAAAAAGGUAAAGGUGUUUUUUUUUUUAGCAGAAUUAUCAAUAAAAUCAUGAUUUUGUUAACAAGUAUGGAUAUAUGUGCUGUUGAGUUAAUACAUUUGAACAAGAACACAGUGAAGUUAAAUCAGCUAAUUUUCCAAUGAGGUUCUGUUACUAAACGGAACUACACCAUGAUCUACUGAGGUUAGUACAUAUAGGGUCCCAGCCAUAGUACUAGACACCAAACAUCUUUUUAACUUUGACUCAUUUCUUUAGCAAAGAGACUAAACACAACUCACCUACUCUCUUCCAGCAGCUGUUUGUUUGUAGUGAGACCUCAGGCCAGUCCAUUACGGACUACAGCGGGGUGACGCAGCUCAAGGAAGAACAUUUAUGAUCAUUACUUUAUCAUUUCCUUGAAGUAAUAAUCAUAUUAAUCAUUUUUCUCUGCAGACGCGGUAGUUCUUCUGCCUAAGCGUCUUGCUCUGAUUGUAUUUCCAUAAAGAAAUGAUGAGCCAAUAGAGUGGCGUUUUGGUUGAGGUUUGUUUAUGGCUCCUUUUGAAGCCUCCUGGCAGAAGUCAAUGUCUUUUUUGGAACAAUUAAUAAUUUGUUUUGACAUUUUGGCGUAAAUAUUUCAUUACUGCCGUCUUGUAUUAAUCUUAACUGCGUUUUUUUAAACAUGAGUAAUGCUGCUCCUCUUGUGAGUCACGAAUGAUAUCAUGGAAAAACAAAUGGACAUUAAAGGACGUCUUAAACUGUCAUAUUCCUCUCUGCUUUUACCCUAUUACACACUGAGAUGAUAUUAUUGAGUGAUGCUUUAACCGAUAAUCUCAUCUCGGGGGUUGAUUGGAGAAGAAAAAGGGCCGAGUGCGUCUACCUCCACUUUAACAAAGGACAUAAAAAGUGGGUCAUGUAAUCACGCCACUUGAUCCAGCUGAAGGCCUGAUUUAAUACGUUCUGCUGGUUAUCGACAAAGUGUAAUAUGAUCAUCAGAAAUUCUACAUGCUGCAACGUCUGCGAAAUCUCAUUACUGUCUCGUGUUUCGCCCGGCCUUCCCUCCUCCCCCGCUGAAAGACCAACGCAAAAGGGUAAUGCCAAUAAGAAUGAGAUAAAUUGGAUGGUAAAAAGAAGAAAAAUCCAUGCGUCCAUUAACUCAGAGGAGGAGGGGUGGGUGGGUAUUUUUUUAAAUCUUGGUAUAGUGUGGGUGCUGAGCAAGGCUGCAGGGUCAUUAUCUGUAUCCUGCCUGAGCUAAUUUACUCUCCGCUCACAUUGGCGAGCUGCAGCCUCUGCACUGCCAUUCACAAAGGUCACAGUCACAUGACCUGGUGGAGGCUGCUGGACUUCACUGCCUCAGAGCUGUGUGUUCGGGUCAACGACGACAAACUUUUACAGGCUGUUUAACCGACAUUUAUGAUUGUUGUUUCCAUCGUUAAAACCUCAUCACAUAUUAAAGCCUUCUCUCAGUACAUCAGAGUCUAUCAAACCAACGAGACUCUGAGAUGAGCUGAACAGGGUCGAGUUUCUGCUACUGAAUAUUUAACCCCCAGUUUCCACCGCAUCCUGAACGGCUACGAAAAGGCCGUAUCCGCCGAUCGUAACCGUUCAAGUUAAUGGACUCAAUCCACGAUUCUUAAAGAUAAAAAAAGCUCUUUUUACGGAUGGAGGGGAGCUCUCUGAAUUCAUUUCUAACAAAAGUAUCUCAGGAGUAUUCGUGGACUUGACCUGUUUACCUUCUUUAAAAUGGAAUCUAAUGUCUUCGACACUCGUGUUGAAGCUAAGCUAAAUCUAACCACCAAUUUCCACCUCAUCUGGAAUGGCUAUGAAAAGGUCGUAUCCUCCGAUCUUAGCUGAUCGUUACCAUUUAAGUUAACGUGUCAAUUUCCACCGACUUCUUUUCGUUCCUCUGCGGAUCGCCGGACUCCUCAGCUGAUCGCAAGAGUUCUAUUUUUCUGGACGCCAGAGCAUGCCAGAUAAAUUCAGCACAGAUUAACCCGUGCUGGAAAGGAAGUCGGGCACAGACACAAAAUAAAACAUCCGGCUUCUUUUCAAAAUAAAACACUCCGUGUUUCAGGAGGAUCGUAUUUCACACCAUGCAAACGGGCGGAGACGAACAAGUGAAAGGUUUUUAGACGUCGUUUCACCCCGAUGACACCAUGGAUGAGGAGAUGCUGAUUCAGCCUAUGUGGCUAAAGACAACUCGUUAUCAUGCGAUUGUACGUGAAUCCGUGAGUUCUCAUGUGAUCUCCUGAUUCCUGCUGCUAAUCUGCCACCAAAUUCGCCUCACAAACAUAUCCGGUAGAGAUGGCGUACGGCGAAAAUCGCAGCUGUUCCAGAUCGGAGUUGUUCCGGAUGCGGUGGAAAUCCCGGGUCACGCUGUCUCUCUACAAAGCCGCAUUCUAGAUGUCCAUUCUUUGACACUGUAGAAACGCGUCUUUAUUGUCUUCACCUUCUCAUCUCAGCUCUACCUGAGGGUCCAAAUGUGCUGAAAACCAGAAUGAGAUUGAUUUCCUGGAUCACUGACAGUACAAACAACCAAUCGCCAUGAGGUCGAAGGUCAGAGCCGGGGCACCAGGGUGAUAUCGGACAAAUCCUCUUGUCCAGGGAUUGAUUAGUCUCUGGGUUGAUGUAUAAAACUCCUCAUUAAAACAAAACAACUCCUACAUGAACAUAAAUAAACGUCAUUUUCCUCAUAUUUGAACCCGUUUUAAUUGAGAAUGAGCUUUUUCACGGUUGCUACAGUAACUCCAACUCUGGUUCUGCUCUGAUAUCCAAUAAUAACCAAUUCAAAAAGGACAUAAUCAAAGCACAUAACCUUAAAUUAAACCUGCACUCAGCAGCAUUUCUAAAAGGCGUGCACACCUUCUGGAGAGACACUUAAUCCCACUUGUAUUUGAAGAAAAACUUUGCAGUAAUUUGUUUGUUUUUGUUAUUUGAGUGUAUUUAACGUUUCUCGAGGGUUGUUCAUCAGUAAACAGCUUCUGUAAAUCUACCUUGAUUGCAUAAAACCGCACAGAAAAGUAAUUACACACUCACAUACUUCUCUUAUUAGGUUUUUUUCAGCAGAACUGAGCCACCGGAUAUAAUUAUAAAGCUUCAUAAAGAAACAGUAAACCUUUUGUAAUAUCAGCAGGGAUGUGACAAACACCAUCUCGGUGCUCACAGAGCAGAGAUAUUCAGGAACACGGAGAGACGGUCUGCAGACGUGUGAGGUGAGAGCAUGCAGAGCGAUGUCCACAGAGCGUCUUUUACCUCUGGCUCUCGCUGAUAUGACUCCCCUGACAACAGCAAUGAAAGUGGGCCACGGUGAGCAAACAGAUCAGCCUACAUCAAACAUCCCCUCAUAUAUUACAGACAUAAAAAGUCAUUAUCCUCAGUGGAAAUCGAUAGCCGGCGUGGUCAAGAUGAAGAGACCCCCGUCUGGUUUUCGGGGUCAGCUUACGAAGGAGCGCAGCAGCAAAUGAUAUCAUUUUUCUAUCAUUAACUGGCCCCCAGGUCGAUGGCCGUGUUUAAAACCGAGGGAUAACGUUACUUAUAAUGCCUGAUAAUGAAUGGCGUGCCGGUCGGGAUGUGCUCAACAUUGAUUGAACAUGUGGACCGGCCGGAGGAGCAGAGGGGCUCAAUAAAAAAGGGGCUGAGGUUUCUACGCCAGUGUUUCCAUAGCAUAGCUGCAAUAUUGAGGUGUGGACAGAGCUUCUAAAGCGUGCAUGGCUUUAUUUGGAGAUCUUAUUAAAGGUCUCUGUUAUUGUUUGUCCAGACUAGCUGUGUUUGUCUGCAGUCUAGCUGCUGCGGCGGCGGCGGUGGCCCCGGACUUCCAAUGGGGAUCAAAACAUCAGUUUCUGUCUUUAUUGUGGAGCUGCUGGAUCCCAGAGGGGCUCUCUGGACCUGCUGGUGUAUUAGUGGUCAAAAAAAAAACAUGGUUACUUAUACCAGGACUGUUUUUGAUACUGAUGCUGAUUUAUUAUUUAAUCACACAAGCAAUUUUCCAAAACUAACUCCUACAAAGAGAACCAAAAUGUUCACUUUAUGUGAGACUUCAUGUGUCAGCUCUCAGUGUGGAUUUUUUCAUGAAGGUAUUGGGUAUAUGUGAAGGUUCUUAAAGCUUUUAAUAUCAGUCAAUAGUUAUUGAUGAUAUUUGGUAAUAUAACGACAUCUCUGUGUUCUCUUUUGUCCGUGUUGUCAACACAGGUGGAAUAACGGGCGCUUAAAACGGAGGUAGACCGGACAAGAGCUAAAAAGCCGGGUCAACAUAAACGAUGGGGGACGCUUGGGGAUCUUGGUGACCCUGUAACCUUUCUGCUGGACAGGUAAACCGCUUUAACAAAGUAAGACAAGUGUCUGUAACAGAAGUGUUUCUUGUCAAACGGACCUGCUGUAGCGUGUUGUAGCGCCAUCGCUAAACUGUCCUCCCUCGGGUCCUGGACUAUGUCACUUUAUCCUCGUUGUAGAAGUCCUGCAAACAUUGUGUUUGCUGGUAGUCUGUUGGCAUCUACAGUAGCACCAAUGCUUUUGACUUUCACCUUGACUGGGCCCCAUUUGUAAUGAUCUGAAGUAUUUAUCUGCAUUAUAUCUGAAUUUAACUGGAACGAUACGAGCGAGCAGGAGCGUCUGUUUGUGGGCGGGGCUUGAGGGGAGAGAGAGGAGCUGAGGGGAAAACUGGUUGUGAGGGGUAGAGUUUACAUUCAAGAUUUCUCCUAAAAACUGGAACUAACUCAGAUCCUGACUACACCACCUUUAAAGAUUAGUGCAGAGAGCCAAACGUUCACCCAUCCAGAAGUUUCUUGGUCAGUAAGAUUUUAGGUAUAUGUGAAGGUUUUGGUCUUUAACGUCUAAAGAGGCGCAAUAAUGUAAAAAGACCAAUGAUGAAAAUGAACAGUCGGUUCUGAUCCGGAGCUAAACUCAUGACAUUACUAUUUAUUUUCCUUUUUUUUUUAACCAAUCAUUUAACGGCAACAAGUGUGCCAGAACAAAUCCUCCCUGUUUGAUGUUUCUCGCCUGGUGCAUGCUGGGAAGAAGUCGGUCUUAUGGUCUAUUAUAGGGAGCCAAAUUUGGCGAUUAAUCAGCGUCAAUUUCACCAUCUGUAAAAUACAACUUCACAGACAAGUAACAGAACGAACUUCACAGCUGGAUGGGAUUAUAUAAUGUUUUUUCUUUUGGGUUUCUGAUAUUAAAGAUCCAAAUUACUGACUGAUCACAUGAUGUGUCUCUGCGCUGUGGAGCACUUCAGGGUGUUUCUCUAAAUAAAGCAGAUGGAUGACCAUAGAGAGGGGGAAUUCCACCAACUUUACAUAACCGGCUCUUUUUAUAGUGCUGCUCAGUGUGUGAGGAAACAUGUGUGAGGAGGUGGACAAAGUCUGAUCAAUGUUGUCAGUCUUUGAGGUCUGCACCGCUUUGGCAAAACAACAAAAACGUUGAGAAGUGAAGUGAGUUUUGCCUACUUUGGGUCGAAGCUCUGUGUUGGAAGAAUUGUUUAGUGGAAGUUGUUUUUUUUGGAAACAGUCUAAAUGCAAACUGCUUCCAGAUUAAGUGAUUUUAGUUCUUGUUAGACAGUCACUCAUCUGGGUCUGUGUUCACGAGCAGCGUUUUGUGCGCCUGCAGAGCCCAUGACCUCGGUUUUAAAGAGCUUCUUACCAAAACUUAAUCUCCACCGAGUUAAAAAACUUGUCUUUUGGCGCUCCUACUUCCUUUAACGCUCGUUAAGUUUGUUUGAUGAAACUUUACAAAGAAAUGUAGAAACUAUUGAACUCUUGUAAAGUGGAGUUAAUUUUUAUCUGGACUUUAUCAGAAAUGUUGAUUCAUGGAAUUUGAAACGCGAUUAACUGCAUUCUGACUUGAAAUUCAGCGAUGACACCUUCUGACACUAAGGACAAGAUAAACUGUCACAGAGGGGAGGGAAGGCGGGGUUUAAAUGCACCAGGGCGGUGGAGUUAACAAGACACAGGUGAGACUCAUCAGGGAAAUCAGGGGGUUACACAGGGAGGAGGAAGUCAAUGAACCUGGAACAAGAGACGAGGGUGAGUAUCAAAAUAAAACAGGAAACACAAGACGAGAAACAUGAGGGAUGGAAAAAAACAACUUAAAUAAUCAGGAGAUGUGACAAGUUGGUUUUAUAUUUCGAUUGUGUUUCUAAAAUAAUGGAAAAAAGGUCACAUCAGGCUUGUUUGAUGACUGUAUUCCCUCCGUUUUCACAAUAAAAUGAGUUUGGUCAUCAGAAGAAGUACAUCUGAACGGCUUUCAUUGUGUUUUGUCUCAUUCAUUGAGAUUUUAAAAGCUUCCUGCAUGUAUCAAGGUUUUUUUUUUUUAGAAACAAAUGUAUAAAAACUUAUUAAAUAUCUUUUUUUAAAUGUACAUUUUACUCUCAUUUGGAAAAUAGGAGGAAGAAUUAGAAGCCAAUCCAGCUGCAAACACUGUGGGUGAUACAGAAGAGAGAGAUUGUUUCUGAGGAAUCAGGAAAAUGACAUUUUCUCUCAUUGUUCUUUUCAUAAUGAGCUGAAAAAUAAUCUUCACAGUAAAUUGACUUUCAUUUCUUCUCAAUUAAACCGUCGUGAAAAAAACUUGAAAGAUGCUUCACUCUAAAGUGGCACAAUGAAUCUGCAAAACAAAAGCAAUUCCAAAAAGAGGCUGCCGCCUGUAAUUGGACUGUACAAAACCAACAUUUAUCUGAGCUAAUAUUGUUGCUCUCCUGAUCCGAAACGCAUUAAAUCAUCAACGCUGUCUUUAAACUAACUUUCACGUGUAGAUCAGCACGAAAGAGAGGCGACGCCAUUGUACCGCUCCAUGUGCUGAAAACAGGAAAACACACAAAACAUCAUAAGGCUCUUCUUUUUGUUACACACACACAGACACACAAGCCUGUGGCUGGUGCAUCGGCUGACACAAGAGGCCUAUAUCCGGCCUGCGUUUUGACACAAAGCAUCCAUUGCUUUAGUGAAACCGUUCAAAGGGGGCAGAGGGGGAAAAAAAAAAAACAAGCCGGAGAAUGACUUAGCGCAAAGACACGAGGCGACAUGCACUCACUGCUCCAUUCUGGUUCAGUGUGUAUCAUCCACAAAAUCACCCCGAGCGAGCGAGCGCCGCUGAAAGAGAGAAAGAAAGCGUUGGCUCGUGAAGAUGUAUUUCAUCAAAAUUGCAUGGUUUCAGCCCCUGUUUUGCCACUUUAGACACUUUUGUUUGGCGUUUGAAGGACGAGGAGUUUAACCCACUCAGUCCUGCACAGAUGAGAGCACAUACAGCCCCGAGACAUCGAAUAAAAGCUCUUCUUUCAGCAGAUGUUCUCUUGUUGUGGAGGAUACGCAGCAAGGUUAAACCAACAGAAAUGAAAGUGGCAGGAAGAAAACAAACUUAGAGACAACGAAACAGCAGCUGUUUCAGUCCACUUACACCUGAACUGGGUCCAGGUCGAUCCUCUGAGCCCAGUUCACUUCAUUCUUGCUACUUUGAAUAGUAAACUGCUGCCUGUCGGGUUUAUCAAUACUACGAUUAUGAAGUAGAGUUGGUAUUAAAGGAGUAAGAUUCUACAACUGACACCAAAGGAGAACGUUUCUGGAAUAAAACACUUCCUCACCAGUCUCUCGUAUCACAGAGGCAACGGAGGCCAUUAAAGUCAUGGUUGACGAUUGGAGAGAUCAGUAAUUAUUAUUAUGAACCUCGUUUCUAUGGCGAUCAUGGUCCUAUAGUGCGAUCUCCACAAAAUGAAGAGAAAAAAGAACUGAAAAAAUCUGUUCACUCUAACAGGUGCAGGGCUGCAAAAACAUUGACCAAUGGGAGCCAUCCGUCCCAGACAGCUCCUAUUGGUCAGUCUCCAAUCACCUCGCUGUAAUCGACACACCCCUCUCCCGUAGUUGCGACUCGUCCCCUCCCACUCUCCCGUAGCCUGGCUGGGUCAUCCUGCUGCGUGAAUCACUUGCCGUUCCUUCCCACAACAGUCUGGACUUCGGCCCAUUGGGAGCGUGUAUUAGCGAUCAGAAAAUAACCGGGCCAAUCAGAGACCGUGUUUCCAUUGUUACCCGGACAACAGGGAAAGGCAGCCCCUGAUUGGUCCAUGUGUAGAUGGUGACGUCUAACACAUGCUGCGGGACUUUUCAAAGUGCCGUUCAUUCAGAACGCUGGCAGAAAUCGUUUAUAUCCGCAGAAGACGUCAGAUUUGAACGAUUUCUGCCGACUUUGCAAAGUCAGCAGAGUUUUUGUUGAACAGGUCAUUUUUAUCGCCUUUUAUCGUGGCACAUGUUAGCUGUCCAGGCAGCUGCAGACGGCGCUAGCUAGCAGAGCUGGCGUUUACUGCCGCUAGUCACUAACAAUCCGACAUGGUGGAUCCUAUUUGAAGCUAGCGUAGGAUCUUCUGUCAGAGGGGGUGUGUCGUGGGGAGGGCGAUACAGGUUCAGGGGGCAGAGUUAUGGUGGAGCGCAGAGGGGAGAGGUUAGUGUGUGGGGGGUGGGACGCUUUUUUCAAAUCUGUCUCAACGGCUCAGUUUUUUUCAAGAUCGUCAACCAGGACUUUAAGAAUAGAAACAAUUUUAACACGAUAAAGACGUCAUCAUCCAUAACAGAUACAAGUAAUUCAACUGUUUCAAACAGUGUUGCCGACUCCUCAAUAAAGAAAGUCGCUAAUGGCUGUCCUAGAAGUCGAGAGAUGAAACUAUCGCCUAAUUUUUUUGCUGUUAUUUUUCCGUCUUUCUGCCUAAUAUGGUAUUGACUCUAAAAGAUCCUCUGGUACUUUGACUAAUGACCAGAUAUCAGCGAGAGUAAACACAUGUUUAUUGUUUUUAUCUUCAUUAUGUGUUCAGUCCAUCCUUCAUUUCUACUGAUCAACAAAAGGCCGGGGUGGGAUGUCGAAAGGCUCAGCAGGUCUGUUGGACUCUUCUCCACCUAAUGAUGUUCUCAGAGUCCUUCCAGGUGAUCCGUGUUUUUCACCUGACGUCUGGACAACCAUCAAAGAAAAGCACUUGGGGGGGGGGGGGGAGAACCGGAUCAAGUGCUCAAACCGCCUGAGUCGGCUGUUUCCGAUCCAAAAGUAGCAGCCGCUCUUGUUUGUGGUCCGGUAGGACGUCUGAACGUCCUUUACUAUCUGUAAGCAGAUUAAAUGUGUGUAUCUGGUAACUUAUGAUUCUGAUGUGCAGCCAAUAGCCUGUUUUUAAAAUAUAUGAUUAUUUUUAUUAUUAUUAACAUGGAAAAUGGAGGAGACCUGCACCCUCUCAUUAAUACACUUCUGUUGGUGAGCUCAAACCUUAGCCGAACAAGCAACAAGCGAAACGAGAGCCCUGCACUCACACGCCAGAGAUCCAGUCUAUCAUGGUCAAUGAGGGGAUUUCACACCUUUGUAGAAAUAUCUGUCACUUCACAGGUUUGAUGGUCUAUGAUGUACUGAAUUUAAUGCGUCACAUGAUGCACCAAAGCUUUGAUUUGACCGCGUGAACCCGAUCGGACAAAGACCGAAGAGUUUGUUCAAACGGCGCCCACACGUAUGACGAGAAAACAUCCUCACGAAGCUGAAAUCUGAGUCCUGCCAACGCCGUCCAGCUCCAGUUUUCAUCUUUCUGUCCUUCUCUAUUUUCACUGAAUCUGUUUCACACACACACAGUAACACAGUCACACACACACACACACUCACACAGACGGUCACACCACGCUGAAAGUAGAAAGAAUCCAUUUAACAGUCCUGUGUCUCACACACAGAUUGUUUUGUCUGUGCGUGUCAUCCAGUUCAGAGGGCGCAUUCUUACAGAGACACAGCCAGACUUCACAGCAGCCCUCCUCCUCCUCCUCUUCUUCACACAUCCUCCUCUUCUCUCCUCCAUUCCUUUCUUUAUUUAUCAUUUUCAUUCAUUUUCUCACUCCUGCAGCUGAACAACUUUACAAAUGUCUCUUAAAGAUUUCUUCAGACCUCUUCGUCUCAUGUCCUCUCAGAAACAGGGUUGAGAUUUUAAUCUGAUCAGUUUCAUCACUAUCCGGUUACAGUUCAGCUUCUCAAUCCUUCGUCUUAUCAAUUCUUGACUCUGACUUGUUUCCUUUUAUUGAUUCGAACCUUUACUUUGGUAUAGUUGAAGAAGUAAAUACAGAACUCUACUCUGCUGGGUCAAACACACGUGAAAUCUAAAGAUAUUCUGGUAAAUAAGAAGGUUUGGAUCAUGAAUUUUGCUCACUGGUGACUGAACAGAGGUGAAAGAGUUUUAUCGCCUUUGCCACAAAUAUCCACAAAAAGCUUUUCUUUUUUUUUACAGAUGGAGAGAGCUCUCUGAACUAGUUUCUAACUUUGUCUUAAGCUAAGUCUUACCCCCAAUUUCCACCGCAUCUGGAACAGCUACGAAAAGACCGUUUUCGACCAUUGUAACCAUUCAAGUUAACGUGUCGAUUUCCACCGACUUCUUUCCGUUCCUCUGCCGAUCGCUGGACUCCUCAGCUGAUCACAAGAGUUCUAUUAUUUCUGGACGCCGGAGCAUGGCGGAUAGAUUCAGCACAGAUUAACCCGUGCUGGAAAGGAAGUCGGGCACAGACACAAAAUAAAACAUCCGACUUCUUUUCAAAAUAAAACACUCCGUGUUUCAGGAGGAUCGUAUUUCACACCAUGCAAACGGGCGGAGACGAACAAGUGAAAGGUUUUUAGACGUCAUUUCACCCCGAUGACACCAUGGAUGAGGAGAUGCUGAUUCUAGAAGUCUAGAAGUAGAUUUCCUCCUCUGGAAGGACACAAUCUACUGCUUAUAUGGUUAGCCUCUGUGGCUAAAGACAACUCGUUAUCGUAUGAUUGUACGUGAAUCUGCGGUUUCACGUGAGUUCUUGCGAUUCCUUCUGUCCGUACUCUGCCACCACAUUCGCCUCACACAAAUGGAUCCAAUAAGAAUUGGCGUACGGCGAAAAUCACCACCGUUCCAGAUCGGAUCGUAGCCGUUCCGGAUGUGGUGGAAAUCUCGGGUUAGUGAUCGUGGACCCACCAGAGGACGCUCAGCAUCCCUUAAAUGUUUGCCCCACUUCUUCGUAUUAUAAUGUUAAAAACCUACAUUUACAGCAGACGGCGGUACACCAUGAAGAACUUCAAUAUCAAACGCUGGCUUUGUUGGCGGGAACUGAACCGCUGCUCAUUAAAGCGCCACAACGAGCCCACUGGAUCCACAAAUCUCAGAAAUUUAGAGCCAGCUUUUGUUGUUGUCUGACAAACUGACCGAAGGAGCCUGGAGUGAGACACUCUUCACAUUCUCAGCGUGUCCGGUGUCGCCUGGUUCACGUCUGUCUGUCUCUUUUGCAGGAGCACAAUAGGUGAAAGGGUGAGUGAUGAAUUUUGGCCGCAGCGCUAUUAAAAGCUUUAAAGUGUGUGGUAAAAUUUUUCAAAUCAAUACACUAAGGCCGGGGCGGCUGUAGCAGAGGGUUUAUGCUCACGUCUCUUGAUCUCGGUAAUAAUUCCAGCAGCAGCCGGAGCCAGCAGCAGUAACCUUGAUUAAUUCCUGUGAAAAACUCUCACUCCACACUCUAUCUGCAUCCUUUUUAUGCACGUUUUCAUUCGCAAAUCAAGAACUACUACCCCCUCAUGCAGGACUUUGCAAAAGAGAGCAAAUAUUGCAUCGUGAAACGCGCCUUAAACUACAUUUUAAAAGGAAGCGUGACAAAAUAAAAGUGCGCGCAAACGUGGUUUUCAUAAUGUGAGAUUUGCUCAGGCAUUGCAGAGCGAUUGCAAUCACUGCGUCAGUAGCAGCAGCAGCAGCAGCAGCAGCGGUUUGGAGUUGAUUUGCAGAGAUGAUUUUUAUAUCUGGUGUCGCCACACAGGCUGUCACACUCUGAAAUAAAGCAGCAGAGAAAUUUAAAUGACUUCCAUUUUCUAUCUGGGAACAUAUCUGACACAUGACACAAGCAUUUCAUUCACGCCUCAAAGCUCCCGUCCACAUUACAUCCUUUUGUCAGAGACUGUGCAGCUAUUGUAGGUCCCCGCGAACCCCCUACCCUACCCCCCCUCUUCCACGAGGGCCUGCACAGUUUCAGGCAGAGAAAUGCCCCCACCAUCCUCAGUGAAAUCACUCUUUUUCUCUUUCAGACUGUGAUCCAGCUAACAACUCAGCUCUGCCAGGAAGAGACAGAAAGAGAUAAGAAAGACAGGCAGGAAGAGAGAGAGGAAUAAAAGCCUCAGAUGCCCUUCACCCCUCCUCUGACUGCCAAACACCCCCCUCCCUCCCCGGCCUUUAAAGAUCUCCAAACUGUGUUGUGAGUCAGUAACAAUCAGAACAUUCACAAACGUGGCCGUGCUGCCAUCUCUCUCCACUAAGAUCUAUGAUUUGCCAAGCGCUCCCUCCCGAGAGCUGCCGGUAGUCGAGCCAGAAACACCCCCCUCCCCUCCGCACCGCUGAGAACACCCCCGGAGUGCUGAGAAAUUGCCCCUGCCGUGUCCCCUUCAAAUGCGUGUGAAUUCCAAAUAACGCUCCACAGCCAAAUAGCAGCUGGCACGGCGCCUGGCGAAAGGGCUGGAGAGGGGCUCGCUCCCACGGAGAGCGGGGGAGAUAGCGAGGAGGAGGACGACGCUGAGAGUUAGGACGAGGACUCGGGGCUCUUUAAAAGAGUGAGACCGCGAAGCUUUCCACGUUAAAAUACACCCCCCGAAUCAGAGUUAAUCAGACCCGCUGGAUCUUCGCCACUUCAGUUCGGUUAUUUAACAACCUUCCCUCAGUUACCCUCGGAGCGUUGUGUUCGUACGUUAGAGGAGAUAGACGGCUGUAAACGAGGUAGAAGCUGUCGAGAUAAUUUUAUAACCGACAAUGAAAACUGAUGAUAAAUCACAGAGAAUAAGAAACAGACGACUGACAGACAACAGAUGUGUUUGUAAUAAUUAGAGCUCAAAGCAGCAAAAGUGCGGUCUGUUUGACGGAGCAUACGGCGCUCAUAAAACCUUAUAACUCUGAUCGUAACGGCAGAAGAAAUCAAAUAACGGAGGACACACACCAGCAGAUAAUCAGGACAGUUUUGGGCCUCACUCCCAGUCAGCUAACGUCGGGUUUACACGACUUUUAUGUAAUUCUGAAGUCAGAGAAAUAUUCUCAAAGUCAAAAUGAAAUCAGAGUUUUUGCUGAACCACCGAGAUCUCGCCAGAAAUCCCGGUGGUUUGGAGCGAUGUCAGAGGCGCACCAGGAGACUUGAACACACGUUACAGACGUCCAACUCGCCAUGAUAGUUAAAGGCAGAGAGCCAGCAGGACGAAGACUUCGAGAAGACUGAGGAUCCAACUAUUUUGAUUCCUUAUCCGAAUCUUCAACUUUUACUAACAAGAAAUGGAGUUGUUGACGUCUGUUUGCACCGCGAUAGAGAGGGAACGGCGUUUAACCAAUGCGGUAUUAGCCUAAAAGCUAACCAUACAUUACAGGGAGACAAACUAGCAUACAGGUAGCCUGUUGGCUAACAUAUCAUCGGGGACAUUGGUUAAACAGUUAGCUAGCAAGCUACAGGCUGUCAACAUAUUUAUUACCCGCAGACUUCGCCAACCAUUAGCUCCUGAAGUCGAGUUUUAAAACCAUUAGUGAUGGUCAAUAUAUCCGAAAUGCUGAUGCGACCUAUUUGAUUGACCUGCAGAGAGGCAUAGAGCUAAAGUCAAGUUGACCUUUGACCUCCUCUCUGACAGCUACAACUCCUUCUCACAGAGCGGAGUGAGAAAUAUGAACCAAAUAAACCAAAUUUUCUUUCUUUUGUCGUAUCGUAAAAAUGGGCUUUUUUCAAUGGGUGUGUAUGUGGCUUCCUGGGCUUUUGGAGCCACCCUCUAGUGGACACUCAAAGUACUGCAGCUUUUAGCACUUAGCUCGAGCUAAGUUUGAUGCUCGGGGCAUUUUGGAAGUGUUGAUAUAAAACAGAUUUACAGUUUAGGGUUUGGACGGUGUAUUAUUGAACAGGAUCUACAUUUCUCUGGAGUCCUAGCACCGUCCUCAGCCAAAUGUAGAAGCUCUGCCUGCAGCUAAACCUCGUCAGAUUGAAGCAUUAACCUCGCUGGCGUCCUCUGCUCCACCGUUUCUCUCCGCCGUUUUCUGAUCAUGUUCAAAUAUUUUGGUAUUUUCAUAAUAAAGGUUGUUUUGUUCCAGGCAGAGAAGAAGGACAAAACCAUAUUGGUGAUAUUCCAACCAAACAGGAUUUACUGGCUUUAAAUUUAUACCUCAUGACUGCCAAAGAGCACUGUGCUGCAGAAAUAAUAAACAGCCGCUUUGCAUUCUGGGUAAGUCCACAUCAUUGUUGGACUCUAUCGAACCCUGAGGGGGUUUGCUCUCCGAAGUUCUCAGAGUUAACAGUUUUCAGAGCUGCACUUGCUGUAGCCGCGGGGUAGACCCCGGGCUGAUGUGCAAAGGCCACGUUAGAUCACCGUCUGAAUGUGAGCAGGAGCUGUUUAUCGACGCCGUCUGUUCAGGAGGAGGACGGAGACGUUCGGCAACAUUCAGACGCCCUGAACGGCAGAGAGCGACCCCUCUGCCCGGGCGAGGAGGACUCGCUAACAUCAGAUGUGGUCUGUGUUUGCUGUGAAGCAUCAGAGAGCAGCGGGGCGGGUAAACACGACACGCUGCGUGCGGUUUACUGAUGUAAUGUAACAGGGUCUGGUGACCUCUCCGUCUGACAGCUGGAGCUGUCAGUGUGUGAACGAGAACGCCGCUCGCAGUGACAUUAGAAACUCUGGACACAGAUCAGAUAGAAGUCCUGACCGCGGGGAGAAGGUAACAGGAGUGUGAGGAGUGAAAUCUCGGCUUUGAGUUCAAACCCUCUUUAGAGAAAACAGAGUAAACACCUCAAUUAACAGUCGGGUUAAACAGGGUCGGAGGAAAAACUCCUGUCUGACGAUCGCCAAACAAAAGAGAAAAGAGUCAGAGAUAGACGAGGAAACAAGUGACUUCGUCAGCUGAAGGUGUGGACCUCCUGAGGAGCAAAGAACCUCCUGAUCAGCAGAGCUCAGCCUCCAGCUGAGGGGGGUCACACAUGAUCCCAACGACCCCUGAUGGAUCUGUGAAGCUCCUGGUCUGGAUCUGGAUCAUUCUGAAGUUAAAGUUUCAGUCACAGUUUCUACCAAAGUCUUUGAAGGUUCUUCAGCUCAAGUACUGAGCAGAACCAUGUGGACCAAGCUCUAUUAGCUUCUCUUCACUGGUUUUAGGGUCAUAUCUGAAGGGGCUUGCCUAGGGUUCAGGUCUAGUCCAGCUCUUAGUUAGGCUGCCGUAGGUUUAGAGAGCUGAGGGUUCGGGCUCACUGAGUCAUCUCUAACUCUUAAUCAUCAUGUCCCAUCAGAGUCACUAAUACAGUCUCUUCUGUCUCCGGAUUUCCACCACAUCCAGAAUUUCGAUUUCCUACCGGAUCCGUUUGUGAGGUGAAUUUCGUCGCCGAUUAUGGACAAAAGGAAAUGGAGAACUCACAAGAACCCGCGGAUUCACGUCAAAUCACACGAUAACAAGUUGUUUUUAGCCACAGAGGCUAACCAGAUAAGCAGUAGAUUGUGUCCUUCCAGAGGAGGAAAUCUGCUUCUAGAAUCAGCAUCUCCUCAUCCGUGGUGUCAUGGAUGUUUUAUUUUGUGUCUGUGCCCGACUUCCUUUCCAGCACGGGUUAAUCUGUGCUGAAUUUAUCCGCCAUGCUCCGGUGUCCGGGAAAAAGUAGAACUCUUGCGAUCAGCUGAGGAGUCCAGCGAUCGGCAGCGAAACGGAAAGAAGAUGGUGGAAAUCGACACGUUAACUUGAAUGGUUACGAUCAGCUACGAUCGGAGGAUACGACCUUUUCGUAGCCGUUCCGGAUGCAGUGGAAAUUGGGGAUGAGCGUCCCUCAGCUCCAUCAGGGCGUAGGUUCCUCUGAAUCGCUGCUGCAGACGUCGGUCUAACAUCAGUCUGGUUCUGUUCAAGGUUUCUGCCUGUUGAAGGAAGUUUUCCUCUCCACUGUAACUUGAUAAACGCUGUAAAGUGUUUCACUUCUGUGGUUCAUCUGGACUCAGACGCUCCUGAUGUUCCUGUGAAAAACCAUAAAAGCAGGAACAGCCAAUCCCAGCAGGGUACGACGGUUUAGAGGAAUCCAAAAAGACAAAAUGAAUCAAUGUCAGAAUGUUUGUGGUCGUCAUGUUGAGCAGCACUGAACUGAAACUCAAAAACACUCUGAAGAAGCGUCUCCUUCAGCUCCAAUCAUAAUCUCCUUCAGAAGUGUGUUUGUUUGUAUGACAGUCAACUUUUCUCUCAUUCAAACUUCAUCUUCUUUUUUAAAAAGUGUCAGACACAGCUGUGGACUCGCGUAUCCCCGAGUUUCUGCUUCAGUCUCACAUUUCAGUGACUCUAAUUCAAUUCAGAACAUGUUCUUGUUUUCUGAAAGGUCUCCAUCCUGAGGGCACGCAGCUAAAAUGAACCCAAAUGUGCAUGAAACAAGAUGCAACUGCUGUGAGAAUUCAAUAAACAUGCAGUAAUAAACCACCCAUUGUAGCCCGGACUCCUGAGGGGGGGACGUCUGAUCUGCAUCCAGAAGUCACACAGUGUCCCCAAAACUCAUGUGAUCUCCAGGAAGCUGUAAAUAAAGAGGAACUGAAGCUGACUUAUUAAUGCGAUGAAGAGUGGAGCUGCAGGAGGCGGGGUUUGCGGUCAGAAGUGAAACUCUAAGUGGAUUAAUCAUCGUCACCUUCAUUUAUCGGCGCUGAGAUUUGAAUGCUAAGCACACCUCUGCAGCUGUAGAUUUUUGGUUGUCGCAGCUUGGAAGGACCACACAGAGUCCACUUAUGACAAAUAGGAUUCAUGCAUUAACUGUAAUUUUAUUCACUGCCAAGUUAAGAGAAACAGCCGCGCUGCUUUAGAGGCUCAGCAGGAGGGACAAAUUGCUCAUAGAUCUUGGGGGGCUGUUAGAGAGAGAGGUCGAUUUUCUUUGGGCUCAGCAUAAUUUGGUGCUUUUUUAUUUCCUUUGAAAGGAGGGCGACAUUCUUAGCUUGCACACAUUUCUCACACUUGAGGAAUCGUUUGUUUAUACAGCAGAGUUUUUAUUCUGGAGGAAGACAUGGAACAUUUUUGUUGGUAUAUAAUCUGCAGGAGAGGAGUGGUGUUGAUUUGGGCAGAUAUUUUAGUUUCUGGACUCAUGGACUAAUGUGCACGGUGCAAAAUCUAAAAAAACACCCCUUUAUUUUUGUUUGAGUGUCUGUUUCUGCGUGUGUUAGAGAGUGCGCAUGAUGGAGAGCUUGAUGAAGUCUAAGUUUGGAGUAUUUGACCCGUGCAAGUCCGUAGAAAUCCAUGAUGUGAACUCUUACCGACAAUUUACACCACGUCCGGAAUGGCUACGAAAAGGCCGUAUCCGCCGAUCGUAACAUGGAGGAAAGUGAGCGAGGAGUUCGGAUUUCCCGGUUAAUUGUUAAUAAGCUUUGUCUAUCACCUGAUCCCGCUGGUUGAAUUGGAUUACCGUUUAAAUGAGCAUGAAAGGCGCGAAUGAAGUGAAAAAAAACUGUUCAUUCACGCGUCUAGAUUCGCACAAAUUAAGCGACUAGACAAUUUUACACGUACUUUGUGUGAGCGCCUCAUCAUGGUACUUUCUCACUAAUGCACCCUGAAAAUGUCAGUAAAGAAGUGCUGCAUCACAGACCACGAACUGGACACCAGAUUUUUGUGAUUUCUGCAUCCUUGUGAUAUCAGCACACCACUUUUUUAUCUAACGGCACCUGAUUUGUCUUCAGACAGAAAUGCCUUUGAGUUUUAGUCCCAUUUUAGCCGUUCUCGUCCCGCACAGUUUCAACAAAGACUUAAAACAUUUGAGUCUUUAUUUUAGGGUGACCAUACGUCCUCUUUUAACCGACCAUGUACUCUUUUUCAGGGGGAGUUUAUCAAAUCCUUCCAAUGUCCGGGGUUUUGUACAGAAGUUUUGAGUUUGUGUCGAGUGGACUGAGUAAAAAAGUGUCCUGACGGACCACAAACUGGACACCAAAUUUUUGUAUGUUCUGCAUCCUCGUGAUAUCAGCACGCCACUUUAAGUCUACCAAGUCUUCGUGGAUUUCUUCUUGUAAAAAACAAUUUUCAUUGUCCUGCUUCCUUUCAGUUGACGGUGCAAACAUUCAACAUGAGGAAACAGCGGAUGCUUGUCGUAGAACCAGGCGUGUUGAGGGUUUGUAGUGUUUUGGUUGGUCGAUUCAGGUCAUUAGAAGACUGGAGUCAAGAGCUGCUUUUACACUAAAACACUGUAAAACGAUUUUCACUUUUCGGUUGUACUCUUAACUCAACAGCUUCUUCCUCGGCUCCGUAACCUUGAGCAGAUCUUUCGAAUUAACCGCAGCUCAGCGGCUCUAAAUCGGCCGACCUUGACCGUUGUGAACAUUUCGCUGGGCCUUUCGUGUCCCGGUAAUCCCGGAGUUUUCACGGUCUGUUGUGCAGAGCUCACUGUUAUCAUUGGUGGUAUUUAAAGCCGGCUGCUCGGGUCUUUGUUUGAAUAAAGUGACGCAACACUAAUUCAUCUCUCUGCAGGAAAACACACGGCUCCUCGUGCAGCGCUGCAGUUGCAUAAUUAGCUCUGAAUGGAUUGGACGGCAUUACAGCAUGUUGCUCGUGCUUGACAUAACAGCAUCAUAGAGCGAGCCAAGUUAGCCACUGAACCGAGGAGAGGGAGAGAGAGAGAGAGGGAGGAAAAAACAACUAUUAGGGCUGAAAGUGGGUCAAGUGGAGGCUGCUGGAGAGGCGUCCAGCAGGACUCCAGAUGUAAGGGGGUUGGGGGGCCGCUGCCUCGGGUUCACUCCUUACAGGCGAAGGUCGACCCUGCAGCGUGUAGCUCCGAUGAAAACCACAUGUGGCCCAGAGAGAGGGGUUUCACUCCUCAAACCAGAUGUGCUCCGGCUCAGGUGUCACUCACUUUGUGAUCUAUCUCCCCUCCCAUCUGAGUGACUCACAGCCCAGGGUUCGCUCAGCCCCAUCUCGCUCUCUCUCCGACUGUCAGACCGCCUCAGCGCCAACGCCACGAGACAAAUUCCUGCGCUUCUGAUUCAAUAAACGCAGUGAUAAAUUUGGGACAUGUUCCCAAACUGUUCCCCCGUCUACGGCGUUUUGAAGAACGGCAAGACCCGACACUCAACAUAAAUCCUCUUCAUGGAAACCCCCGAGGCGCACGACGAAACGCCGUUAUCUCCAGAUGAUUAUGAACAAAUAGGAAAGAUAAACUGUGUGCGCUGAUGGAGACAACGUCGACUAACCCUACAACAAGUUUUCUGCUGGUUUGUCCGACCAAGUUUGUUUAUCAGCAGAUCUGUAAAUUAAUGCCCCAUAUGUUCACCUCGAUGACACCAUGGAUGAGGAGAUGCUGAUUCUAGAAGUCUAGAAGUAGAUUUCCUCCUCUGGAAGGACACAAUCUACUGCUUAUAUGGUUAGUCUAUGUGGCGAGAGGCAGCUUGUUAUCGCGCAAUUGGACGUGAAUCAACAGGUUCUUAAGAGUUCUCGCGAUUCCUGUUGUCCGCCACAAAAUUCGCCUCACAAAUGGACUCGGUAGGAAUUGGCGUCCAGCGAAAAUCGUCGCUGUUCGAGAUCAGAGCCGUUCCAGAUGCCGUGGAAAUCCCGGGUUACUGUCUCCUCACACAAGCGCAAUUUUAAUGAUUUGUGCGACUGGAUUACAUCUUAAGUCAAUGCAAAGACGCGUUUAGACGCUCGUUCUUCUCUGAUGCUGCGAAUGAUACAAAUUGGGCGGGAGCUGAAAAUGUCUCAACUUGAGCAGAUAUUUGCGAUAACCAAUCAGCACAAAGGUUGCUAGGUGACGUAUGUAAACAGAUGGGUGUUCACCGGUAUCUAAAAUGGAGGACAAACUGAUCGUGUCGGUGUGUGGGCGCCGCGAAUCAUAUGAUACCUUUUCAUCAACUACCUGACCAACAAGUUUUCUGCUGGUUUGUCCAAGUUUGUUGGAUUUGCAUGAAAAUGUUCCGUUAUUGCAAAUUAAUGCUCCAUGUCUUCUUUUCCAACAGGAUUCAAGACGCAGGAUCAGUUCGAAGUCGGGUCAAGGCACAUUUAUGCUCGCCAUAAGUAUGAAAAUGUACGCACCCAUUUCAAACGAUGGUUCCGUCACUGCCCACAUACUUUCAUGCGUCCUUUACGUUGGCAUGGAUGUUAACCGUUACAUUCUAACGACAAAAAACACAAAGAACCACGGCGACUGUGGAGGAGUUCGUGAUAAUGUCUUCAGCAACACUGUCAGCAACACAUAUCCGUUAACUUCAAGGAUACGUGGACACAAACGAGAAGCACGGACGGUCUGUAUCUGGAUCCGUUUGUAACCUUGAGUAUAAAUGAGCCUCGAUACCGAAGAGUCAUCUCUGACUUUGUCUUUGUUGGUCGUUUCUUUGCAGAAAAGCUUGAAGGAAACAAACAAACUUGCAUUAAAAAUCGUGACACUGCAGUUUGGUUCUCAGUUUGUUGCACAAAGCCGAAUGUAAAGGUCAGAGGACGACGCUUCGACAGCGCGCAUGACAAAUGAGGUUAUUUCUAAUAGGAGGUCAGCUCUGAUAAAAGCCAAAAGAAAGACCUGAUAGCGUAGAUCUGCGCUGCCCUGAAUCUGACUGGAAACUGAUCUUCAAAAGGAAUAACCAGCGGCGAAGCAUGAAGGAUUAUGAGUGCGUGGGUCGGGGUCAUUAGUCCUGUAAUUUGACUAGGUGAUGGAUAUGGAGCGUGUUUAUUACUGUGCUGCAGCGAGCGCGGACACGUUAUGUAACUUUUGGCAGAGCGGCCCUCCCUUUCACUCGAUCAUUUGGUUUAUUUGAUCGUCACUGUGGAUGUUUUAAGUCAUUACCCUCUCAAGCCUCAUAAACCUUUCAAUCACACUCGUAAACCCCGCAGACAUCGGCGCACGGGGGUAAAAAGUUCAUGUGAUGGGGGCUCAGAGUGCAGUUUUUGUCCUCUUCAGACCGCUCAGCUGAUGUUUUCUGUCCAGGUCAGAUGAUUCACUCAUGGACUCCUUCUCUGAUUUAUUGUCCUCUCUGUCAUUGCGCCUCUUUCUUCCACUUUCCCACGUGAGUUUUGACAACAUUGUGGUCUCGCCUCCCAGCGUAAAGACCGAUUUACAUAAAGAACAAACUUUAUCUCACAAGAGGAGCCAAAUCUGAAUUCAUGUACGUCUUAAAUCUUUAGGAGGAGCUGCAGGAGACUCAACGUCUCUCUUCAAACUCGCCUGGAAAUGUACAGAGUAACAUUUCUGCACACAGUCAAAAUGAGCCCUCUGAGAAAGAGACGGUUAUUAGACGUCUAGUUUUUUUUUAGACCUAAUUUCAACCGUCUAGAUCCUGUAUAUUUUUAGAAGGAAUUUAGACUUUGUAUUUUAACCCAUUAUUUGAUAACCAUUUAUUUCAAAAAACAACUGUGCAAAUCCAAGUUAAGUCCUUUAACUAAAAAUUAACCGCUUGUUAAAAGUAUACAUGAUUAAAUAUUGAGUGACAUAACAGAGCAGUAACACACAGAGGCCUAAAUCUUGAUGAACUUUAUUUUGAAAAGACAAAAAAGUUUUUCUUUAUCAUUACAAGGAUGAUAAAGACAUGCUGUAAAAAUGUCAAACUGCAUAUUUGAACAGGCCCUACAGUGAUUUUCUGUGUAGUGGGGAUGAGUAUACAUAACAGUAAAGGUACUGUUGACAGGAGCGAGUGUACCUCCAGUGCUGUAGGUGGCGACAUACUCCCUUUAAGCUUGUCAACCCAAGUUGACGUGUUACACGCAAAACAAGUUUGCAUGGGAUUAACAGUAUUAACGUUGAACAAUUUAAAACAAUCGUAACUUUUACAGUUUUCUUCUGUUUUUUUUUCUUUUGUAUGAUAAGAAAGUUUCGUCUUUUUUCCGUUCUUUAUUUAUCUGUUGUGCAAAACUGUUGUAGGUCAGUUUCAGCCUAACCGACUUGUCUUACAUGACACGUAAAAUCGAUCCCCAACCAAAUUAGUUUGAUUUAGUGUGAUUGUAGUUUAGUCAGACCAAUGUCACAAAUACAGUUUUGUAGAUAGAUAGAUAGAUAGAUAGAUAGAUAGAUAGAUAGAUCAUUAUGAAAACGGAUAGCAGCAGGAAUGAAUGAUCUCCUAAAGCGCUCCGUCCUGCACCGUAAGGAGAGGAGACGCUCCGAUCUGUUGCUCCUCAGAGUCCCAUGCAAAGGGUGUCUAGUGCAGCUGAGGAUUGUGUUCACUUUCCUCCUCAUACACCUCUCCACAACAGCUCCCACGGCGUCCGGAAAUGUCAGCUGUGCAUGCAUGCAAAGUGCAAUGAUGAAGUGAUGAUAAAUGCCGUUUUGACUGGACUCAGCGUUAGAAACUUGGUAAGUAGUUGUUCUGUCAGUAUUCAGCGACAGAAACUUAAAGUCGUAUCACUAAGUUACAGACAAACUUUAAAUAAGGUCACACCAAUAAUCGCUCUGUGAGAGUGUAACCAUGAUGAACAGUAUAAAUCACUUCAAUCAAAUGUACUUUAUAAAUGGAUUAAUCCGUCUUUUCUUCACAAGUCUUCAGAUUUUUAAUUUCAUUCCCAUGUUCAACAACAACAAAAUAUUCAGACGUUAACUCUGAUUCAAAGGAAAGCAUCCCUUUCUAAUCUCAGACCUUUGUUUCAGAUCUGCUUCUGUUAUUUCUUACAAGGCUAAGCUUUACUACGAGCGGUUUGAUUAGGGAUUUAAAAAGGAUUAAAACUCAGUAAGCAAGUCUGAUACUGGAUUUGGAUUUCCACCUCCUCUUUUAACCCGUUAGUGUUUCAGACAGCGGUGAAAAAAAAAACACAUUUGAAGUUUCUUUGGAUGUGAAACAGAUAUUUAAAGGUUUGAACUGUGAUUCAGCGGCCGUGUUAUUCCAGCAUAAGUACACAAAACAUAACACAAAAUCUUUUAAGAGACCACAAGCAGACAUUUACUGAACCCUCACGUCUAUUUUCCAUCACCUGAAGCUCUCUCCUCUUCUCUCUUCGCCAUGUUUUUUUUCCUCUGCACAAUUGCACCGGCAGAUUGUCCUCCUCUCUCGCUCUUCCCUGCAGACCUGAGGCAUAAAUUGAGUGGAAAUUUUCUUUCACUGAGCAGAGUGAUGUGGGUCAGGAGAGCGUGUGUGUACUCUCCGUUACAUAAUACACCUCCAGCAGGUUAGAACAGAGCAGAUAUGAACUCCAUUCAAACAUGACACCUCUUGGCUGAGCCCCAACCUCACACACACACACUCACAUAACACACCUUCGCACCUCCCUGUUUGGCCCACAAACCCCCCGAAAAACCACCCUGAGCACCUCCUCAUGCCUGAGUUUUUUGGCACACUCGCUUUACCUGCAGAGAAGAAAAAGACCGACUGGAAUCUCCUCUUUUAUUUUUAUUUCUGCAGCCAUGUCAAAAUAAAAAAGUUAUGUUUUGAGACAGCCGUUCUUGAAAAAGUUUACAGGCAUGCAUGCACUAUACUCUGAGUACAGUCACUUAUACAUGGAGAUCCGAUUAUGGGGCCGCAGAAGUCAGUGAAGCAGGAGGUUUAACAAGAUAACAUGGAUGAAGAAGAUAGAUUUCAAAACAGAGAGCUAGAACUUAAAAUUACCCCAGAGUCACAAAUAUUCUCAUCUUCAUCCUUAUCUUCCAUUUCUAUCAACAGUGCAGUGAGAAAAUGCUGUUCUAUAAAGGUUUUAGGGCCUGACUCCACGAUUGGCAAUUUAGGGCCUGUGUCUACUAAUGACAGCUAAGGGACUGUGUCCUGUACUGGCACUUUAGGGCCUAAGUCCAUGAUAGGCAAUUAUAGGGCUUGUGACUACUCUAAGUAUCCUAGGGUUUGUGUCCAGGAUUGGUAAUUUAGGGCCUGUGUCCACUAUUAGUACUUUAGGGCCUGUCUCCACCACUGGCAUUUUGGGGCCUGUGUCCACUAAAGGCAAUUAUAGAACCUAAGUCUACUUUAAGUAUUUAAGGGCCUGUGUCUACUAUUGCCAAUUUAAGGGACUGUGUCCACUAUAGGCAAUUGUAGGGCCUGUGACUACUCUUUGUAUUUUAGGGUCUGUGUCCAGGAUUAGUAUUUAAGGACCUGUGUCCAUUUUUAGUACUGUUGGGCCUUUGUCAACUACUGGCAUAUAAGGGCCUGUGCAAUUGUCAACUGUUAGUAUUUAAGGUCCUGUGUCCUCUACUGGCAUUUUAGGGCCUGUGUCCACUAUAGGCAAUUAUAGGGCCUAUGUCUACUUAACACAAUUAUAGAAACUAAAUCUACUUUUUGUAUUUAAGGGCCUGUGUCCACUAUUUUUUUUUCACACAAGGUAAGCCCACAUGCUUAAUUUCAGGGCAUUUCUUACUAGUGCUCACCAUUUUUGGGUCACAAAAGUUUUUCUACAGCGUUUCAACUGAAGUUGGUUUUCAAAGAAAGCUAAAAUAGAUCAAAGUUGUGUUUGUUAGCAUUAGUAACGGGGAACUUUAUCCUCAAACAUAAGAGUGAUUAGUGUUUCCUCUGUUAAGACCUUCACUAUGGUCAGCAAAAUUUAAGUAGAGUAGAGUGAUCAAAAGUGAUCAAAAUGCUCAGACGUGUGUAAACGGCGUGGAAAAGAGGGUUUUCAUAUACGCCAGUUCAAGAGAAAUAUGAGGUUUGAGCAGAAAUCAUGCAGAGCUGCUCUAUAGGUGUCCCAGCCUGACAAACUGAGAAGUGAAAAUGAAUGAAAUACGCCUUCUUUAAGGACCUAUUGGAUCCACAUUAUAGCAUUUUAACUUGAACCCAGUUUAACUGCCUCUCAGUAUUCCUCUAUGGAAUUUAAACCAUGUGUAAUCCAGUCGUAUUUUUCAAGAUGUGUGUGGAGGCGGGGGUUUGCACAUUUUUUACAAGUGGUAGCAAAUUCUUUCUAAUCCUCCGCAUGUGCUUUUGUUGCAUAAUAUGCCAUCACAAACACUAUUUGCCUUGCGAUGAUGAUUUAGAGCGCGGGUACGGGAAACAUAUGGCUCCAUUGAAAAGCUACAGUGCUGCCGCUCUUGUGUGUUCGGUCACAUACUCAGCGAGGGAUGCACAGAUGGAACUUGUCGUUGGAGUGACUUGCUUCUGCAGCUGGCGGCGUGGAGAAUUUACAUGCAGGAGAGGAAAAAAAAAAAGGGCGUCAUUAGAAGAGGGCUCAGCUGAGGAGAGGGUACAGACGAACGCUGCCGUCAAGCUGUCUGCUAACGAGACGCAGAAAUUUACAUCAGAGGCGUUUAGCUGACGGUCUUAUCCAGAGAGACUCUCAGGGAGGAGCUCAGUGUCUCGCUCAGAGACAUUUCAUGGCUGUUAAUGGACAGAUUGGCUGUCGUAGGAGUUUGAACUUCUAACCUCAGGCGUGCAAGGAAAGGCCCUCUGAACCUCUAAACUGUCCACUUUUCUCAGAGUAAACACAUGGCUGUGGACAGAGUUGAAGACAUGCCAGAGCAGUAAGAGCAGCACUCAGGAAAACAAUUGGAGAAUAACAGUGUCAGAUGAAGUGGUCUGGUGAAGAACAUCCUGAGUGCUUCAAAGAAAUAUGUUUUUUUUAACUUCUUUUUGCUGCUGGAUCACCAAUUUUAUAACACCCCUAAAAUGAUGACCCUGUUUUUGUCUGUUGGACCGAUAUGUGAGUGUCUAUGCAAAGAUUAUUGAUACAGAAUCAAAUCUAAGAAGAGCAACUAGUGGCAUCUCGCAAUGAUCUGUACUUGGACCCAAGUUAUUUUAGGGCCUGUGUCCACUAUUGGCACUUUAGGGCCCAUGUACACUAUAGACAGUUAUGUAGCCUAUGCUCACUGUAGGCAACUAUUGGGCGUGUGUCCGCUUAAGGUAUUUUAGGGCCUGUGUCCACUAUUGGCAUUUUAGGGUCCGUGUAGAAUAUCUACAAUUUAGGGCCUGUAUCUACUACUGACACUUUAGGGCCUGUGUCCACCAUUGGUGUUCUGGGGCCUGUGUCCACUAUUGGUGUUUUGGGGCCCAUGUCAACUAUUAGUAUUUUAGGGCCUGAGUCUAUUAUUGCCAUUUUAGAGUUUUUGUCUUCUAGUGGCACUUUGGGGCCUAGGUCCACUAUUGACAAUUAAGGGCCUGUGUCCAUUAUAGGCAAUCAAAGAGCCUGUGUUCACUGAUGGCAAUUAUAAGGCCUGUGUCCACUUUUGGUAUUUAAGGGCCAGUGUCCACUGUUGGUGUUUUGGGGCCUAAGUCUUCUAUCGGCAUUUGAGAGUUUUUGUUUUUUAGCAGUAUUUCAGGGCCUGUAUCCACUACUGACACUUUAGGACCUGUACCCACUUAAACGUUUUAGGGCCUAUGUCCACAAUUUGGACAUUGUUUAAAAGAUACUCUUGAAGGGUCUGGUAAUUUGGAAGUUGCUCCAUUUGCAGAUGAUACCAGUUUAUUUUCUUCUGAGGAGGUCAUGAAAUAAUUACUGGAAAAUGAAGAAGCUGAGCUGAUACAGUUUAAAACAGGGUUUGAUUAUCAUUAAAUGUUUAAUUAUGAUUUUUUAUUUUUGGUGAUGAGAUUAACUUCGAAACAAAACAGACAAUUUUGAUAAAAGAUGAACAUAAUUUUUCUUUGCUGUUUCUCAUCAAAAGUCUUAAACUUAAAUCAAAUUUUUGACUUUUGUUUUCCAAAUUAUUCAUAUUUUUUUUAUCUAAGGCUAAAUGUUAUAUUACAAACACUGUCUGUCACAGGACGAUAACCAUAAAGCAGGUAAAAUGUCUGAAUAUUUUCUGAGCGUCCCGCCCUGAUGCGCCUCAGCACGGACAAACAGCGGCGUCUCUUUGAAACGCCAUCUUCAAAGCCCGUCCUGGUCUGCUGAGGUGUGAAAUAUGUGGAACAGCACCACCCACCCACCAGCAGCCCUCUCUCCUUUCUCCACAGCGGAGGGCGGCGCCGAGAUGCCUGCAACCAGAUGUUGGACAGCCCUAACACUGGGGGUCAAAGGUCACGGCUGGAUAGCUGAGCUCAGGGAGGGUCUGUAGGAGGGUGGGUGCGUAAUGGCUGUUGAACCAGACCAUGUAGCACUUCAUCAGCUGGAGACAAACAGAGCGCGGCCUCCCGCGACCUUGUGUGGUUUGAAUUAGGGCCGCCAUGAUGGAGGUCCGCUAAUUGAAUCCCACCCUCGCUAAUAAAUAACAGCUGAUCGAUAUUUUUAGGAGGUAAUUUGUUCACUGCCGGCUUCUCAUUGAUUGUGUUUACCUUAUCAGCGUCUUUAUUUUUAUGGCUUCAUCUUUAAAAGCUGUGCAGACAUUAGAUCAUAAUCUGGUUUGGAUCAGAUUACAGCUCUAAUUAUCGCCUCUCUGCUCCAGGAUCCCUAAACUAACUCUGACUUUAAAUCGCCAAAGAGACGACAACAAAACCCGACUUAACAGACUAUUUAUUCAUCUUUAUUUGAGGUCAGUGGGUUUAACGCAUGCUGAUUUACAUCCUAAUAAAUAAGACAAACACACCUCGUCAAGUUAGCCGCCGUUAGACCAACGGGUAAUAAAGACGCUCAUUUUCGUCACAUGACCACAGUCUGGAUUUAAAGGGAUAUUCUGGUGCAAAAUUAAGUUAUGGUCAAACACACUGUAACACCGAGUUAGGCACCCCGAGAGAUGAAUGAAUGUUGUCAACCGCUUACUUCUGUAGUUUUACCAACUUUAGUAACGACCGCAGAAAGACCUAAAAGACCAAAAAAAACUUUGUGUUUCUCCGUCUACAGUCAAAAACUUUCCUUUCCUACUGUUUUAAAGUGAGCAUCACAUUUGUUAUACUCAGCCUACUAGCGUUUUUGCAUUAUAAAAACAUGCUAUGACUUAACUUAAAAGUUGUAGUUUGAAUAUUUUCCGGCAGGUGGAUCAAACUAAACAGUUCCCCUUUAUAUCCACUAAAGACACCAUUCAGGCUGCCGAAGGUCGAUAUGCCUUUUUAACUCGAAUAAUAUUUAUUUUUAAAACUUUCAUGAACAAGUUUAAGAAGAGUAACUUGUGGUGUGCCACAGGGUUUAAUACUGGGACCAAAGUCAUUCAUACUUUAUGUUAAAAAUAUCCGCAAACUGUCAGAGAAGUUAAAGCUCAUUUCAUUUGCAGAUGAUACCAUGUAAUUUUGUUCGAGGGCAAACAUAAACCACGAUUGAAAAUGAGCUUUAAAAUAUAAAACAUGGUUUAACCCUUCUGCAGUAUUGGUGACAAAAACGUCCACUAAGGUCACUUUUUCCUCUAAAUUUAACCAUAUUUUUUUCUGUAUGCUAUGAUUUUAGCUGACAAACAUUAUUUUACAAAUUUUAUUUUAUUUUUUUUUAAAUUUAGUAGUUUUGAUCAAGAGGUUGAUUCAAAGAUUUAUGCAAAAAAAAAAAAAUUAAAAAAUAUUUAUCUGAUAUUUUUUUUACGCGGUAUGGGGGUUAAAGUGCAAAGUUUUCACUAAAUGAGAAUCAGUUUCAGGGGUCAAUCUAUGGAUCAGCCCUUUUUUGUCACUUUCUGACAAUUUCAAACCUUUAAAACGAUAAUAAUCUUUGUAUUCUCUUAGAUGGAUUUUCUCCAAAAUGGCAGAUUUCUUGUUCCUUUUAAAAGAAAGACCUGAAUAAAUAUUAAUGCCGUUCAAAUCCAGGUCUGUAUUUAUGGACGCAGUGUAACGUAAAUGGGACACAUCAUGAAACUGGAUGUGUAUUCAGAGUAAUGAAGGAGCAGCAGGAUGUGUUUUAGAAAGCUUUCUCUUCGGCGCAGGAGGAUGAAUAUAGACGCUCCUAAAAAUGUCCUCCAGUCGAGCAGAUUUCCAUAAACACGGGUGAGAUGAUGCUGAUCAGAUUCACUCAGAGGUGGAGGUUCAGAGACAGAGGAAGUUACAGUCGUCGUCCUGUUGUUGAAGUUGUUGUUGUUGGAGUUCGGUGUUGUUGGAGGACGGAGGCUCAGAGAGAUUUUGUCAGAAAUAAGGAUCAGGAUGGUUUUCACUCCCCGGGAAAUCUUCUUGAUCUAAUUUUCUCCGAGAGCUUUUCUGCUCUCUUGUCGCUCUGAGCCGGCGUGUGAACCUCGGUUCAUGCUUUCAGAAUAAUGUCUGCACAGACUCCAUACCGCCCCGCGUGUGUAGGUGUCUGCUUUUAUGUCUCUGUGUGUGGAUCUACUGUCUGCUUUCUCAUUAUCUCCUGGGACUGAAGCCUUCGUGGGCUUGAAUUUGACCAUCACCUCCAUGUAUUUUGGAUGAAGUGGUGGAGAACAGAGCUUUGUCUCUGACAUGAAGGUGAUUCUGAUAAAAAUAGAGGCAACGAUAACUUAGAUUCAGAUUUAUUAAGUCAGUCAUGUUUAUUUCAAAAGCUGAAGUCCGUCAUAUAAAUGUGUUUGGAAACUAAAAUCUGUCUUCUUGCAGAUUUCUGUUAUCUUGUUCUCUGAUAUCAGUCUGCUUUAAUAUCUGAUAAUAGCGUUUGUUUCUUUGUGGGCUAAAUAUGAUGCUUGUUGUUUGCACAGUUUGUAGUUUUCCUCAUCUUUUUCAUUCUUGAGUUGCUACAUUUCCGUGCAUGUUUGAAAAUCCACCUUUGCAGCAUCUUUGCACAUAUAUCAGUGUUAGAAUAAUGUGCAUAAAUGUAUAUAGAAGUUAUCAUUAUUCCUCAUAUUCUUAUGUAAGAGUUUAUACUACAAGUGUAAACUGCUUUGACCUCUUUUAAUACAUUAUAUAAGAGUAUUUUUAUCAUAUAAGAGUGUUUCCUAACUUCUCUCUCCAAUAGAUUUACUACACAGCAGAACAAUGUUUCCUUCAGUUUUCUGUGACUGUGUCUUUCCUAUCAGCAGGUGGGGGUGUGUGAGUGAUGGAUCCUCCGCUGUAAAUCGUGGGGAGUUUUUGAGGAGGUGCCGCUGUUAUCAGAAGGAGCUCGUUAGAUGCCGCCUUGACCUUCACAUAUUCACAAGUUGUUCAUUAUUAUGCUUUAUGAGAGUGCUUACGUUGCUACACAUAUUUUUCUCCACCCUUUUAGAAACAUUGUGUAACCAGGGACAAGACUAAAUAAAAGAGACUGGGCGGAAAUACCUUUAGAGUGGUUUCGAUAUAGUACCUGAAGCUAUCUCGGUCCAUUCUCCUCGAGUAUA